UCUGUCAAGUCCAUCUGAUCCAGUGUGUCAUUCAGGGCCCUUGUUUCUUUAUUGACCGUGUGUCUAGAUGAUCUAUCCAUUUCUGUAAGUGGAAUGUUAGAGUCCCCUGCAAUUACGACAUUCUUAUCAAUAAGAUUUCUUAUGUUUA